UUCCUACGGGACGCAGCAGUGAGGAAUAUUGGUCAAUGGCCGAGAGGCUGAACCAGCCAAGUCGCGUGAGGGAAGAAUGUCCUAUGGAUUGUAAACCUCUUUUGUCAGGGAGCAAAGUCACCCACGUGUGGGUGUUGGAGAGUACCUGAAGAAAAAGCAUCGGCUAACUCCGUGCCAACAGCCGCGGUAAUACGGAGGAUGCGAGGGGUAUCCGGAUUUAGUGGGUUUAAAGGGUGCGUAGGCGGGUUAUUAAGUCAGCGGUAAAAUCGUGGAGCUCAACUCCAU
rnacentral:rRNA from 1 species